UACGUAGGGGGCAAGCGUUGUCCGGAAUCAUUGGGCGUAAAGAGCGUGUAGGCGGCCAGAAAAGUCCGCUGUGAAAACUCGAGGCUCAACCUCGAGACGCCGGUGGAAACCAUCAGACUAGAGUCCGGAAGAGGAGAGUGGAAUUCCUGGUGUAGCGGUGAAAUGCGCAGAUAUCGGGAGGAACACCGAUGGCGAAGGCAGGUCACUGGGCCGCAACUGACGCUGAGGAGCGAAAGCAUGGGGAGCGAACAGG
rnacentral:rRNA from 1 species